UGCAAGUCGAACGAAGUAGCAAUACUUAGUGGCAGACGGGUGAGUAACAUGUGGGUAUCUUCCCUUUGGUGAGGAAUAACACGAGGAAACUUGUGCUAAUACCUCAUAAGUCUUUACGGAGAAAGCUUUAUGCGCCAAUGGAUGAGCUCGCACUUGAUUAGUUUGUUGGUGGGGUAAUGGCCUACCAAGACUUUGAUCAAUAGCUGAUUUGAGAGGAUGAUCAGCCACAUUGGGACUGAGACACGGCCCAAACUCCUACGGGAGGCAGCAGUAAGGAAUCUUGCACAAUGGAGGAAACUCUGAUGCAGCGAUGCCGCGUGAGUGAAGAAGGCCUUUGGGUUGUAAAGCUCUUUCGUCGGGGAAGAAAAUGACUGUACCCGAAUAAGAAGGUCCGGCUAACUUCGUGCCAGCAGCCGCGGUAAUACGAAGGGACCUAGCGUAGUUCGGAAUUACUGGGCUUAAAGAGUUCGUAGGUGGUUAAAAAAGUUGGUAGUGAAAUCCCAGAGCUUAACUCUGGAACUGCUAUCAAAACUUUUUAGCUAGAGUAUGAUAGAGGAAAGCAGAAUUUCUAGUGUAGAGGUGAAAUUCGUAGAUAUUAGAAAGAAUACCAAUUGCGAAGGCAGCUUUCUGGAUCAUUACUGACACUGAGGAACGAAAGCAUGGGUAGCGAAGAGGAUUAGAUACCCUCGUAGUCCAUGCCGUAAACGAUGUGUGUUAGACGUUGGAAAUUUAUUUUCAGUGUCGCAGCGAAAGCGAUAAACACACCGCCUGGGGAGUACGACCGCAAGGUUAAAACUCAAAUGAAUUGACGGGGACCCGCACAAGUAGUGGAGCAUGUGGUUUAAUUCGAAGAUACGCGCAGAACCUUACCAACACUUGACAUGUUCGUCGCGACUUUAAGAGAUUAAAGUUUUCGGUUCGGCCGGACGAAACACAGG
rnacentral:rRNA from 1 species